rnacentral:rRNA from 1 species
GACAGAGGGGGCAAGCGUUGCUCGGAAUCACUGGGCGUAAAGGGCGCGUAGGCGGGAUGGCAAGUCGGUCGUGAAAGCCUUCGGCUCAACCGAAGAACGUCGGCCGAUACUGCCGUUCUUGAGGGAUGCAGAGGAGACUGGAAUUCCCGGUGUAGCGGUGAAAUGUGUAGAGAUCGGGAGGAACACCUAUGGCGAAGGCAGCUCGCUGGGACGUUACUGACGCUGAGACGCGAAAGCGUGGGGAGCAAACAGG